GGGAGGCAGCAGUGGGGGAAUAUUGCACAAUGGGCGCAAGCCUGAUGCAGCGACGCCGCGUGAGGGAUGACGGCCUUCGGGUUGUAAACCUCUUUCAGUAGGGAAGAAGCGAAAGUGACGGUACCUGCAGAAGAAGCGCCGGCUAACUACGUGCCAGCAGCCGCGGUAAUACGUAGGGCGCAAGCGUUAUCCGGAAUUAUUGGGCGUAAAGAGCUCGUAGGCGGUUUGUCGCGUCUGCCGUGAAAGUCCGGGGCUCAACUCCGGAUCUGCGGUGGGUACGGGCAGACUAGAGUGAUGUAGGGGAGACUGGAAUUCCUGGUGUAGCGGUGAAAUGCGCAGAUAUCAGGAGGAACACCGAUGGCGAAGGCAGGUCUCUGGGCAUUAACUGACGCUGAGGAGCGAAAGCAUGGGGAGCGAACAGGAUUAGAUACCCUGGUAGUCCAUGCCGUAAACGUUGGGCACUAGGUGUGGGGGACAUUCCACGUUUUCCGCGCCGUAGCUAACGCAUUAAGUGCCCCGCCUGGGGAGUACGGCCGCAAGGCUAAAACUCAAAGGAAUUGACGGGGGCCCGCACAAGCGGCGGAGCAUGCGGAUUAAUUCGAUGCAACGCGAAGAACCUUACCAAGGCUUGACAUGGACCGGACCGGGCUGGAAACAGUCCUUCCCCUUUGGGGCUGGUUCACUAGGUGGUGCAUGGUGUCGUCAGCUCGUGUC
rnacentral:rRNA from 1 species